rnacentral:rRNA from 1 species
UACGUAGGUGGCAAGCGUUGUCCGGAUUUACUGGGCGUAAAGCGCACGUAGGCGGCUUAGUAAGUUGGAUGUGAAAUCCCUCGGCUUAACCAAGGAAGUGCAUCCAAAACUACUGAGCUUGAGUACUAAAGAGGAUCGCGGAAUUCCCGGUGUAGAGGUGAAAUUCGUAGAUAUCGGGAGGAACACCAGUGGCGAAGGCGGCGAUCUGGGUAGAUACUGACGCUGAGGUGCGAAAGCGUGGGGAGCAAACAGG